rnacentral:rRNA from 1 species
UACGGAGGAUCCGAGCGUUAUCCGGAUUUAUUGGGUUUAAAGGGUGCGUAGGCGGUUUGAUAAGUUAGAGGUGAGAUGUCGGGGCUCAACCCCGAAACUGCCUCUAAUACUGUUGGACUAGAGAAUAGUUGCGGUAGGCGGAACGUAUGGUGUAGCGGUGAAAUGCUUAGAGAUCAUACAGAACACCGAUUGCGAAGGCAGCUUACCAAACUAUAUCUGACGUUGAGGCACGAAAGCGUGGGUAGCAAACAGG